AACGUAGGAGGCGAGCGUUAUCCGGAUUUACUGGGUGUAAAGCGCAUGCAGGCGGUGCACUAAGUUGGGUGUGAAAGCUCCUGGCUCAACUGGGAGAGGUCGCUCAAGACUGGUGCACUCGAGCGUGGUAAGGGAAAGUGGAAUUCCGGGUGUAGUGGUGAAAUGCGUAGAUAUCCGGAGGAACACCAGUGGCGAAGGCGGCUUUCUGGACCACGACUGACGCUCAGAUGCGACAGCUAGGGGAGCAAACGGG
rnacentral:rRNA from 2 species